GAUGAACGCUGGCGGCGUGCCUAAUACAUGCAAGUCGAGCGAACAGACGAGGAGCUUGCUCCUCUGACGUUAGCGGCGGACGGGUGAGUAACACGUGGAUAACCUACCUAUAAGACUGGGAUAACUUCGGGAAACCGGAGCUAAUAGCGGAUAAUAUAUUGAACCGCAGGGGUCAAUAGUGAAAGACGGUUUUGGUGUCACUAAUAGCGGGAUCCGCGCCGCAUUAGGUAGUUGGUAAGGUAACGGCUUACCAAGGGAACGAGGCGUAGCCGAACGGAGAGGGUGAUCGGCCACACGGGAACGGGACCACGCACCAUACUCCUGCGAGAGGGAGCAGUAGCGAAUCUUCCGCAAUGGGCGAAAGCCUUACGGAGCAACGCCGCGUCAGUGAUGAAGGUCUUCGGAGCGUAAUACUCUGUUAUGAGUGGAGAACAAAUGUCUAAGUAACCAUGCACGUCGUGACGGUACCUAAUAAGAAAGCCACGGCUAACUACGUG
rnacentral:rRNA from 1 species